AUUUUUAGGCUCCAAAGACACUCUUUCCAGGGAGAGCAGCUCAAAUCACUCAGUUCGAAUGGCACCUGAAUUGUGUACCCCGGAAAAAAUUAAAGAUGAUAUUCCGGACAGCCCUUUUACAGCUGUCACCAGUACAAAUUCUGCAAGGGCCACACAGUUUCGAGGGUAAGGAGACUUAAUUUGAAAGCCGUAAGAGUUACACAGCAAAAGCAUUUGUCGCCUCGCAACAAAAUUUUGUAUUAGGGCGUAAAGAAUUUGGUACAUCGCCAACAGGUGAGAAACCUAUAUGUAAUUAUGUUAUAAUAGUAAUUGUACUAAAUUAAUGAAUUUGUUUUGCUACUUUGAAUUAGGUAUUUGUUUAAUUUCUGAAUUUUUGAUUCAUAACAUGAUUUUGCUUCUUGAGCAAAUGUUUCUGGUUUCUAUAACGAACACCUUUCACAAUAUAAUGGUAAUUGGCGUUUCGCCUAUUUAUUUACUACAAUAAAAAUGUGUAAAUGUU